rnacentral:rRNA from 1 species
UGGUGGAGUGAUGUCUGGUUAAUUCCAUUAAUGAAUAAGACCUCUGCCUGAAAAAUAAUCUGGUGAGUGUUUUACACUGGUUGUGGCUUCUUAGAGUGACAUGCAUUUCAAAAAGUUGCAGGAAGAUAGGGGAAUAACA